GACGAACGCUGGCGGCGUACUUAACACAUGCAAGUCGAGCGGUAAGGCCCUUUCGGGGGUACACGAGCGGCGAACGGGUGAGUAACACGUGGGUGACCUGCCCUUAGCUCUGGGAUAAGCCUGGGAAACUGGGUCUAAUACCGGAUAUGACUCCAUGACGCAUGUUGUGGGGUGGAAAGCCUUGUGCGGCUAGGGAUGGGCCCGCGGCCUAUCAGCUUGUUGGUGGGGUGAUGGCCUACCAAGGCGACGACGGGUAGCCGGCCUGAGAGGGCGACCGGCCACACUGGGACUGAGACACGGCCCAGACUCCUACGGGAGGCAGCAGUGGGGAAUCUUGCGCAAUGGGCGAAAGCCUGACGCAGCGACGCCGCGUGAGGGAUGACGGCCUCGGUUGUAAC
rnacentral:rRNA from 1 species